rnacentral:rRNA from 1 species
AUGCACCGCGACAUGGGCUCGGCUCCUUCAAGUUUGCCUCCGCGCCGGCGGCCCGGAGGGGCGUUGGUCAAGGAUGUCGGUGAGGAAAAGUCCAGUCUCCUCUGGUCAGGCCUGGUGGGAGGCGUGGCGGCUGGGAGUGCAUUGGUGGAUGUGUGUCGAGUGGGCGCGUUGGCCGGCUGUCCACAAGGACAAGGGGAGAGGCAGGUGCCGUGGUCCUGGCCUGGGUGUGGUUCGUCGUGCUUGCCGGUGGAGAAGGUCGGGCGGUGUGAGUGCUCCUGUUCUCGAGGUUCUCUUCUGCUGUACGCCAUCGCUACGUUGGGGGUGGGGUGGGGCGGGGUGUUUGGUGCCGCCUCGGUUCCCUGUCCCGGUCCCAUCUAUUCUUCCUCCCUUCUCUUUGAUUCCGGGGCAGCGAGGACAAGCAUAACCGCAGGGGGGAGCACCGAAAUGGACUCGCAACGGGACAACUCCGACACUGACAAGAGUGGCAACCCAGAUUCCAAACCGAGCAAGAGCACGCAAGCAUUCACAUUUCUCCAACAAACUAGCAACGAUGGAAGCUUUGACUACGAAAGGGCUGAUGAGAAAACGUGCAUUUCGUGUUGUUUCUGGAUGGUUGUAACAUUUUUGUGUAUGAUUUAUUUGUAG